UCGAAAUGUAGUGAGGGGGGCGGGCGUAGUGGCUCACUCCUGUAAUCCCACCACUGUGGGAAGCCGAGGCGGGCCGAUCACCUGAGGUCAGGAGUUCGAGACCAGCCUGGCCAACAUGGUGAAACACCGUUGUUACUAAAAGUACAAAAAUUAGCCGGGCGUGGUGGCGGCCGCCUUAGUCCUGGCUACUCAGGAGGCUGAGGCAGGAGAAUCGCUUGAACCCGGGAGGCGGAGGUUGCAGUAAGCCCAUGUGGCGCCACUGCAUUCCGUCCUGAGCGACAGAGCGAGACUCCGUCUCAAAAAAAUAAAUAAACAAAUAAAUAAAAGAAAGAAAGAAAAGAAAUGUAGUGAGGGAAGUAGUGUGUGGAAAAGUAAUACAAUAGGAAGCCAUGUAGCAGCGAUCAUAAAUGAACUAGAGCUACCAGGUAGCAGCAUCAAUGGCUGAAUCUCAGAAACACGAUGUUCAGUGAAAGAAGGAAGUCUAACAACACUUUUGUAAAGUUCAAACCAAGUAAAACUAAUGUUGUUUAGAGAAACGUACAUAUAUGGUAAAAUACUGUACAGAGAAGGCAAGACAUGAGAAAAAAAAAUAAAAAAGAAUCAGGAUAUUGGUGAUCUUUAGGGAGCCGGGAGGGUAGCACACAAGAGGGGGAGGGAGAGGCAGGGAAGGAGCACAUAGACACAUCCUCAGUUUCUCACGUGGGAGUGGGUUCACGUGUGUCUGUUUCAUUAUGAGGCAUAUUCAAGAUGUUUUGGAUUUAUUUUGUACUAAAUCUAGUACAAAAUAUAUGUAUAAAUUCAAGAUGUACUGGGGAAGUCGCCUGGUUUCUUGCUGGUGAUGAAAUUUUAUAGCUAUAAUUAACUCAGGGCAGAACAACUAGCAGAAUCCUCAGUGUUCGGGCGAUUGGCAGAGAAUCCAG
rnacentral:lncRNA from 1 species